rnacentral:rRNA from 1 species
AUUGAACGCUGGCGGCAGGCCUAACACAUGCAAGUCGAACGGUAGCACAGAGGAGCUUGCUCCUCGGGUGACGGGUGGCGGACGGGUGAGUAAUGUCUGGGGAUCUGCCCGAUAGAGGGGGAUAACCACUGGAAACGGUGGCUAAUACCGCAUAACGUCGCAAGACCAAAGAGGGGGACCUUCGGGCCUCUCACUAUCGGAUGAACCCAGAUGGGAUUAGCUAGUAGGCGGGGUAACGGCCCACCUAGGCGACGAUCCCUAGCUGGUCUGAGAGGAUGACCAGCCACACUGGAACUGGGACACGGUCCAGACGCCUACGGGAGGCAGCAGUGGGGAAUAUUGCACAAUGGGCGCAAGCCUGAUGCAGCCAUGCCGCGUGUAUGAAGAAGGCCUUCGGGUUGUAAAGUACUUUCAGCGGGGAGGAAGGCGAUGUGGUUAAUAACCGCGUCGAUUGACGUUACCCGCAGAAGAAGCACCGGCUAACUCCGUGCCAGCCGCCGCAGUAA